rnacentral:rRNA from 1 species
AUACAUGCAAGUCGAGCGGACAGAUGGGAGCUUGCUCCCUGAUGUUAGCGGCGGACGGGUGAGUAACACGUGGGUAACCUGCCUGUAAGACUGGGAUAACUCCGGGAAACCGGGGCUAAUACCGGAUGGUUGUUUGAACCGCAUGGUUCAGACAUAAAAGGUGGCUUCGGCUACCACUUACAGAUGGACCCGCGGCGCAUUAGCUAGUUGGUGAGGUAACGGCUCACCAAGGCGACGAUGCGUAGCCGACCUGAGAGGGUGAUCGGCCACACUGGGACUGAGACACGGCCCAGACUCCUACGGGAGGCAGCAGUAGGGAAUCUUCCGCAAUGGACGAAAGUCUGACGGAGCAACGCCGCGUGAGUGAUGAAGGUUUUCGGAUCGUAAAGCUCUGUUGUUAGGGAAGAACAAGUGCCGUUCAAAUAGGGCGGCACCUUGACGGUACCUAACCAGAAAGCCACGGCUAACUACGUGCCAGCAGCCGCGGUAAUACGUAGGUGGCAAGCGUUGUCCGGAAUUAUUGGGCGUAAAGGGCUCGCAGGCGGUUUCUUAAGUCUGAUGUGAAAGCCCCCGGCUCAACCGGGGAGGGUCAUUGGAAACUGGGGAACUUGAGUGCAGAAGAGGAGAGUGGAAUUCCACGUGUAGCGGUGAAAUGCGUAGAGAUGUGGAGGAACACCAGUGGCGAAGGCGACUCUCUGGUCUGUAACUGACGCUGAGGAGCGAAAGCGUGGGGAGCGAACAGGAUUAGAUACCCUGGUAGUCCACGCCGUAAACGAUGAGUGCUAAGUGUUAGGGGGUUUCCGCCCCUUAGUGCUGCAGCUAACGCAUUAAGCACUCCGCCUGGGGAGUACGGUCGCAAGACUGAAACUCAAAGGAAUUGACGGGGGCCCGCACAAGCGGUGGAGCAUGUGGUUUAAUUCGAAGCAACGCGAAGAACCUUACCAGGUCUUGACAUCCUCUGACAAUCCUAGAGAUAGGACGUCCCCUUCGGGGGCAGAGUGACAGGUGGUGCAUGGUUGUCGUCAGCUCGUGUCGUGAGAUGUUGGGUUAAGUCCCGCAACGAGCGCAACCCUUGAUCUUAGUUGCCAGCAUUCAGUUGGGCACUCUAAGGUGACUGCCGGUGACAAACCGGAGGAAGGUGGGGAUGACGUCAAAUCAUCAUGCCCCUUAUGACCUGGGCUACACACGUGCUACAAUGGACAGAACAAAGGGCAGCGAAACCGCGAGGUUAAGCCAAUCCCACAAAUCUGUUCUCAGUUCGGAUCGCAGUCUGCAACUCGACUGCGUGAAGCUGGAAUCGCUAGU